UCCAAGAAGUAGUCAGUCAUGCGCACCUUUCCUCUCUGGUUCCAAAGCGGCGGCUCCAGCUGACCGUGAGGAAGGAGGCCCGUCUCCAGGCAGAAUCCAGCUCCCCCAUGUUGCCAUUCAUGAGCUGAUUGGGUGUCCAUUUGAGUGUCAUCAGCUCUCCCGUUUGGUGCAGGGAGAGAUAGCCAGGAAUGGCCUCCAUGUCGUCCCGCUGGAGAAGCACGGUAGCAGCGUGCAGG